UGUAGCUGAGAGGUAUGAGUUUACUUCAGAUUACUCAUUACAACUGGCUAUUGUUAUUUGUUUGUAUCCGUCUAUGGGAAAACUCCCACAAAGCCAGGGGAGCUAUGGAGAGAAGAGGGGCAUAGCCGGGACUUACCUUUUCAGAAAUGAAGAGGUCACAAUGUUAAGAUCCUGACUCUCAGAUAAGAGGAAGUGGAUUCAGAGAUGCGGGAAGUAGACUGUACAGAGUAUACUCUGAACGUCCGCAGGCCAGCCAGACAAGUUCUUACCAGUGGGGCAGCUGCACAGAGCAGAGACAUGCUUGCCCUCUUAGCAAGUGUUCAUGGUGAAGCAGACAAGAAACUGCAGGAUUCUUAACAGUGGCCCCUAGGAGGGGAAAUGAAGAGAAAGGCGUGAGAGA